rnacentral:miRNA from 1 species
AAAAGGACUUGACUGCAGCA